GGAAGGAUCAUUAUCGAAACAGCAUGAUAAAGCUGUUGCUGGCCUCUUGCCGUGCACGCUUGUCAUCUUCACAUCCACUUGUGCACUAUUUGUAGACCUAUAUGCAUAUCUGACCUCGCUCAGAUGAUUGGGGGACUGCUUGGCUUUCCCUGUGAAACAGUCUAUGACCUUUUUCAUACACAAACUAGUAUCUGAUGUCUUGUAAUAAAUGACAAAUAUACAACUUUCAGCAACGGAUCUCUUGGCUCUCGCAUCGAUGAAGAACGCAGCGAAAUGCGAUAAGUAAUGUGAAUUGCAGAAUUCAGUGAAUCAUCGAAUCUUUGAACGCAUCUUGCGCUCCUUGGUAUUCCGAGGAGCAUGCCUGUUUGAGGGUCAUUAAUAUCUCAACUCUAUAGUGUCAUUGCUAUGGAAAGGUUGGAUUUGGAGGAUUUGUGCAGGCAAAAUCAGUCUGCUCCUCUGAAAUGUAUUGGCAGCACUUGUGUGGGCACACCUGCUUUGGAUGUGAUAGUUAUCUGCAUUCAAUUGGACUGCACUCUGCUGAUAGAAUAAAGCCUCAUUUGCUUGACCUCAAAUCAGGUAGGACUACCCGCUGAACUUAAGCAUAUCAAUAAGCGGAGGAAAAGAAACUAACAAGGAUUCCCUUAGUAACUGCGAGUGAAGUGGGAAGAGCUCAAAUUUGAAAUCUGGCAGCUCUAUAGUUGUCCGAAUUGUAAUCUGGAGAAGUGCUACCUGUGCUGGACCAUGUACAAGUCUCCUGGAAUGGAGCAUCAUAGAGGGUGAGAAUCCCGUCUUUGACAUGGACUCCCAGGACUUCAAUGGUACGCUCUCAAAGAGUCGAGUUGUUUGGGAAUGCAGCUCAAAAUGGGUGGUAAAUGCCAUCUAAAGCUAAAUAUUGGCGAGAGACCGAUAGCGAACAAGUACCGUGAGGGAAAGAUGAAAAGAACUUUGGAAAGAGAGUUAAACAGUACGUGAAAUUGCUGAAAGGGAAACGCUUGAAGUCAGUCGCAUCAGCUGGAAAUCAACCUUUGCUUUUGCUUGGUGUACUUUCCAUCUUGAUGGGUCAGCAUCAAUUUUGGCUGCUGGAUAAAGUUCUUGGGAAUGUAGCAUCUCAGGAUGUGUUAUAGCUCUUGGACGUAUACAGCAGUUGGGAUUGAGGAACUCAGCACGCCAUAUAGGCUGGGCUUGUCCACAUAACGUGCUUAGGAUGCUGGCAUAAUGGCUUUAAUCGACCCGUCUUGAAACACGGACCAAGGAGUCUAACAUGCCUGCAAGUGUUUGGGUGGAAAACCCAUGCGCGCAAUGAAAGUGAUAGUUGAGAUCCCUGUCAUGGGGAGCACCGACGCCCAGACCAGAGCUUUUGUGACGGAUCUGCGGUAGAGCAUGCAUGUUGGGACCCGAAAGAUGGUGAACUAUGCCUGAAUAGGGUGAAGCCAGAGGAAACUCUGGUGGAGGCUCGUAGCGAUUCUGACGUGCAAAUCGAUCGUCAAAUUUGGGUAUAGGGGCGAAAGACUAAUCGAACCAUCUAGUAGCUGGUUCCUGC
rnacentral:misc_RNA from 1 species